rnacentral:rRNA from 1 species
UACGUAGGCAGCAAGCGUUGUUCGGAAUUACUGGGCGUAAAGCGCGCGCAGGCGGUUCUUCAAGUCAGUGGUGAAAGCCCGGAGCUCAACUCCGGAAUUGCCAUUGAAACUGUAGAACUUGAGGAUGAGAGAGGUGAGUGGAAUUCCCAGUGUAGAGGUGAAAUUCGUAGAUAUUGGGAAGAACACCGGUGGCGAAGGCGGCUCACUGGCUCAUUUCUGACGCUCAGGCGCGACAGCGUGGGGAUCAAACAGG